rnacentral:rRNA from 1 species
CGAACGCUGGCGGCGUGCUUAACACAUGCAAGUCGAACGGAAAGGCCCUGCUUUUGUGGGGUGCUCGAGUGGCGAACGGGUGAGUAACACGUGAGUAACCUGCCCUUGACUUUGGGAUAACUUCAGGAAACUGGGGCUAAUACCGGAUAGGAGCUCCUGCUGCAUGGUGGGGGUUGGAAAGUUUCGGCGGUUGGGGAUGGACUCGCGGCUUAUCAGCUUGUUGGUGGGGUAGUGGCUUACCAAGGCUUUGACGGGUAGCCGGCCUGAGAGGGUGACCGGCCACAUUGGGACUGAGAUACGGCCCAGACUCCUACGGGAGGCAGCAGUGGGGAAUAUUGCACAAUGGGCGGAAGCCUGAUGCAGCAACGCCGCGUGCGGGAUGACGGCCUUCGGGUUGUAAACCGCUUUCGCCUGUGACGAAGCGUGAGUGACGGUAAUGGGUAAAGAAGCACCGGCUAACUACGUGCCAGCAGCCGCGGUGAUACGUAGGGUGCGAGCGUUGUCCGGAUUUAUUGGGCGUAAAGGGCUCGUAGGUGGUUGAUCGCGUCGGAAGUGUAAUCUUGGGGCUUAACCCUGAGCAUGCUUUCGAUACGGGUUGACUUGAGGAAGGUAGGGGAGAAUGGAAUUCCUGGUGGAGCGGUGGAAUGCGCAGAUAUCAGGAGGAACACCAGUGGCGAAGGCGGUCCUCUGGGCCUUUCCUGACGCUGAGGAGCGAAAGCGUGGGGAGCGAACAGGCUUAGAUACCCUGGUAGUCCACGCUGUAAACGGUGGGUACUAGGUGUGGGGUCCAUUCCACGGGUUCCGUGCCGUAGCUAACGCUUUAAGUACCCCGCCUGGGGAGUACGGCCGCAAGGCUAAAACUCAAAGGAAUUGACGGGGCCCCGCACAAGCGGCGGAGCAUGCGGAUUAAUUCGAUGCAACGCGUAGAACCUUACCUGGGUUUGACAUGGAUCGGGAGUGCUCAGAGAUGGGUGUGCCUCUUUUGGGGUCGGUUCACAGGUGGUGCAUGGCUGUCGUCAGCUCGUGUCGUGAGAUGUUGGGUUAAGUCCCGCAACGAGCGCAGCCCUUGUUCACUGUUGCCAGCACGUUAUGGUGGGGACUCAGUGGAGACCGCCGGGGUCAACUCGGAGGGAGGUGGGGAUGACGUCAAGUCAUCAUGCCCCUUAUGUCCAGGGCUUCACGCAUGCUACAAUGGCUGGUACAGAGAGUGGCGAGCCUGUGAGGGUGAGCGAAUCUCGGAAAGCCGGUCUCAGUUCGGAUUGGGGUCUGCAACUCGACCUCAUGAAGUCGGAGUCGCUAGUAAUCGCAGAUCAGCAACGCUGCGGUGAAUACGUUCCCGGGGCUUGUACACACCGCCCGUCAAGUCAUGAAAGUUGGUAACACCCGAAGCCGGUGGCCUAACCGUUGUGGGGGAGCCGUCGAAGGUGGGACUGGUGAUUAGGACU